rnacentral:rRNA from 1 species
AGAGAGAGACAUGCGCGCAUAUCAAUAAGCGGAGGAAAAGAAACUAACUAGGAUUCCCUCAGUAACGGCGAGUGAAGCGGGAAGAGCUCAAAUUUGAAAUCUUCAAGGUUCUACCUUGACGAAUUGUAGUUUAAAGAAGUGUUUUCUGUUGGAGUUUUGGUAAAAGUUCUUUGGAAUAGGACAUCAUAGAGGGUGAGAAUCCCGUAUUUGACCAUUAUUUCCAGCUUUGUGAUACACUUUCAAAGAGUCGGAUUGUUUGGGAAUGCAGUCCAAAAUGGGUGGUAAAUUUCAUCUAAAGCUAAAUAUUGGCGAGAGACCGAUAGCGAACAAGUACCGUGAGGGAAAGAUGAAAAGAACUUUGAAAAGAGAGUUAAACAGUACGUGAAAUUGUCAAAAGGGAAGCGUUUGACACCAGUGUUGUUUUCUCGAAAAUCAAUUAAAAAAGGCAGGAUUUUGUGUUGUAUUGACUUUAUCAGCUUUCUGCACUCUUUUCUUGUCUUUUUUAAUGCACUUUUCGUUUAACAAGUCAACAUCAAUUUCUUUUGUUGUAAAAGGGUCAUUGGAAGGUGGCUUUCUUUUCGGAGAAAGUGUUUAUAGCCCUUGGCCUCUGCAAUCGGAGAGAUUGAGGUCUGCAGCGUAGAUCCUUCGGGGUUAGAUACAUUUGUGCUAAGUUAUAGCCUUUCAUAGACAACUUGUUGACUAUGAUCAGUCAUGUAGCUUACUCGCUUAUGCUAUUUUACCUACGCUUAGGAUGUUGAUGUGAUACUGCGAGCA